rnacentral:rRNA from 1 species
UACGGAGGGUGCAAGCGUUAUCCGGAUUCACUGGGUUUAAAGGGUGCGUAGGUGGUUGGGUAAGUUUGAUGUGAAAUCUCCGGGCUUAACCCGGAAACUGCAUUGAAUACUAUCUGGCUAGAGGGUUGGAGGGGGGACUGGAAUACUUGGUGUAGCAGUGAAAUGCGUAGAUAUCAAGUGGAACACCAGUGGCGAAGGCGAGUCCCUGGACAACUCCUGACACUGAGGCACGAAAGCUAGGGGAGCAAACAGG